UGGUGCUCCAGUAUCGGGACUACCAGAGGGCCACUCAGAGGCUGGCGGGCAUUCCGGAACUGCUCAACAAACUUCGCCAGGCCCCCGAUUUCUAUGUGGAGAUGAAGUGGGAGUUCACCAGCUGGGUGCCCCUUGUGUCUAAGAUGUGCCCGAGCGAUGUGUACCGCGUGUGGAAGCGGGGUGAGAGCCUGCGAGUAGACACCAGUCUCCUGGGCUUCGAGCACAUGACCUGGCAGCGGGGCCGGAGGAGCUUCAUCUUCAAGGGCCAGGAGGCAGGAGCCCUGGUGAUGGAGGUGGACCAUGACCGGCAGGUGGUGCAUGUGGAGACGCUGGGGCUCGCUCUGCAGGAGCCCGAAGCACUGCUGGCCGCCAUGCGGCCCAGCGAGGAGCAUGUGGCCAGUCGCCUCACCUCUCCUAUCGUUUCCACCCACCUGGACACUCGUAAUGUGGCCUUUGAGAGGAACAAAUGUGGUAUCUGGGGCUGGCGGUCGGAGAAGAUGGAAACUGUUAGCGGCUACGAGGCCAAGGCAGGAGAGGCCGGGGGUGGGGGCCAGGGGUAGGCGAUGAGGUCCAGGAACUCAAGGGUGGGGGCGGGGGUAGGCGAUGAGGUCCAGGAACUAGCUCCUCUCCACAUCCAUCCCAGAGUAGCCUUUGGGCUCUGGAAACCCUGAGCAUUUGUGGGAACUCAGCGGGCCUGAGUGCCCAGCCCCUGUGGAAUACAUAGGGCUCACCCACAUCACGGACCCCUACCCAGGGUACCGAGAUCAAAAGAGGAGUGUGUUCCUCUUGACCCUGGGGCUGCAUCUCCUCGUUGGUGACUUCCCGGGGUUCAGACCCUGCCACCUCCUCCAUUUUGGGGAGCAAGAUCUCAUCUGUCUCUGGGACAGGAGGACCUGGGUUCUGCACUGGUGAGGCUGAGUGUGGGAAGCAGGCUCUGAGCCCCCAGCUCCCCGUGUCCCCUGCUCCCCAGGUGUAUAGUGCCACCAACGUGGAGCUGGUGACACGCACGCGCACGGAGCACCUCUCUGAUCAGGACAAGUCGAGGAGCAAAGCGGGGAAGACUCCGUUCCAGUCCUUCCUGGGGAUGGCCCAGCAGCAUUCCUCCCACACCGGGGCCCCCGUGCAGCAGGCAGCCAGCCCCACCAACCCCACAGCC
rnacentral:sRNA from 1 species